rnacentral:rRNA from 1 species
CUAGUAGCUGGUUCCUCCCGAAAUUUCCCUUAGGAUAGCUGCAACCGAACAGUUUUUAUCAGGUAAAGCGAAUGAUUAGAGGCAUCAGGGAUGAAAUGUCCUUGACCUAUUCUCAAACUUUAAAUGGGUAAGAGCCCUGAGUUGCUUAAGUGAACUCGGCGGUCGAAUGACGGUUGCUAGUGGGCCAAUCUGGGUAAGCUAGAUUGGCGAUGCGGGAUGCUCCGAACGUUGAGUUAAAGUGCCAAAAUAUCCGCUAACCUAGAUCCCACAAAAGGUGUUGGUUCAUUAAGACAGCAGGACGGUGGCCAUGGAAGUCGGAACCCGCUAAGGAGUGUGUAACAACUCACCUGCCGAAUGAACUAGCCCUGAAAAUGGAUGGCGCUGAAGCGGAUUACUUAUACUCAACCAACUAGAGACAAAUAGCGAAGU